UUAAGCAUAUCAAUAAGCGGAGGAAAAGAAAAUAACAAUGAUUCCCCUAGUAACUGCGAGUGAAGAGGGACAAGCUCAAAUUUUAAAUCUAUCGGGUUUUACCCGAUCGAGUUGUAAUUUGAAGAGGCGUUUUCUGUGUUUCUGAUCAGUCCAAGUCCUUUGGGAUAAGGCAUCAUGGAGGGUGAGAAUCCCGUCCGGUUGAUCAGAUUCGCUUUACGAUACGCUUUCUAAGAGUCAAGUUGUUUGGGAUUGCAGCUUAAAAUGGGAGGUAAAUUUCUCCUAAGGCUAAAUAACGGCGAGAGACCGAUAGCGAACAAGUACCGUGAGGGAAAGAUGAAAAGAACUUUGAAAAGAGAGUUAAACAGUACGUGAAAUUGUUGAAAGGGAAACGAUUGAAGCCAGUCGUACCUAUGGGUAAUCAGCCUUUUGGGUGUGAUUUUGUGGAGCGUGAGGAGUUAAACGCCUUCAUGCCUGCAUAUUCGUGCACUUUGGGUGUACUUGCCCGUAUGGUUGGUUAACAUCAAUUUUGGUGGUCAUAAAAUGACUGGAGGAAUGUAGCUUCGAUCUCGUAUUGAAGUGUUAUAGCCUUCGGUAGAUGUGAUGAUCGAGAUUGAGGAUUGCAACGGAUACCCUUCGGGGCUACCUGUCUGAUCUCUGAUCGUUGCUCUGGUGCCGAAAGCUUGCUUACGGUUAUCAAAGUCGAUGGUCAAUAGGUUAGAACGGGUUAAAUUCGUUAAGGAUGUUGACGUAAUGGCUUUAAACGACCCGUCUUGAAACACGGACCAAGGAGUCUAACAUAUAUGCGAGUGUUAGGGUGAUUAAACCCUUACGCGUAAUGAAAGUAAUUUUGGUGGGAACAUUUUUGUGCACCAUCGACCGAUCAGGAUAUUUUUUGAUAGAUUUGAGUAAGAGCAUAUCUGCUAGGACCCGAAAGAUGGUGAACUAUGCCUGAAUAGGGUGAAGUCAGAGGAAACUCUGAUGGAGGCUCGUAGCGGUUCUGACGUGCAAAUCGAUCGUCAAAUUUGGGUAUAGGGGCGAAAGACUAAUCGAACCAUCUAGUAGCUGGUUCCUGCCGAAGUUUCCCUCAGGAUAGCAGAAACUCGUUAACAGUUUUAUGAGGUAAAGCGAAUGAUUAGAGGCCUUAGGGUUGAAACAGCCUUAACCUAUUCUCAAACUUUAAAUAUGUAAGAAGUUUAUCGUUACUUAAUUGAACGUGAACAUUCGAAUGAGAUUUCUAUGGCCAUUUU
rnacentral:rRNA from 1 species